rnacentral:rRNA from 1 species
UACGAAGGGGGCGAGCGUUGUUCGGAAUUACUGGGCGUAAAGGGCGCGCAGGCGGCUCUUCAAGUCAGGCGUGAAAGCCCCGGGCUUAACCUGGGAAUUGCGCUUGGGACUGGAGGGCUUGAGUACGGGAGAGGAGAGUGGAAUUCCCAGUGUAGAGGUGAAAUUCGUAGAUAUUGGGAAGAACACCGGUGGCGAAGGCGGUCUGCUGGGCAGUUGCUGACGCUGAUGCGCGACAGCGUGGGGAGCAAACAGG